UUAUUAUAGAACAGUCAGAAAAGCACAAUUCUCCCAGCCACAAAGUAUUUAUUCUUCUAGGCCAAUAUUUUCCAAUUAUGGGUUGUUGUCAUUACCUCCUAAAUAUGCACUGAUCAGGCACUUAACCAUGUUACUUUAUUGUUGAAUUGCAGGAAAACUUAAGACUGCACAUUAAAAGGUCAAUUCUAGAAAGGCAUGAGA
rfam:Sarcophilus harrisii ctg7180001468923, whole genome shotgun sequence.